UAGGGAAUCUUGCGCAAUGGGCGAAAGCCUGACGCAGCGACGCCGCGUGAGCGAUGAAGGCCUUCGGGUUGUAAAGCUCUGUGGAUGGAGACGAAUAAGUGGUAGUUAAUACCUGCCAUGAUGACGGUAUCCAUUUAGCAAGCACCGGCUAACUCUGUGCCAGCAGCCGCGGUAAGACAGAGGGUGCAAACGUUGUUCGGAAUUACUGGGCGUAAAGCGCGUGUAGGCGGCAUUGCAGGUCGGAUGUGAAAUCCCGUGGCUCAACCAUGGAAGUGCACCCGAAACCGCAGAGCUAGAGUCUCGGAGAGGAAGGUGGAAUGCUUGGUGUAGAGGUGAAAUUCGUAGAUAUC
rnacentral:rRNA from 1 species